CUAAUGUGGAUACACCCAGGAAGUCACUCUCUCCCCAGGCUGUGUCCAAGUGGCAUAGGGGAGCAUAGGGCUCUGUCCCCAGGAUGUACAGUCCCUUUCCAUGACAUUGGAGAUGAAGCUGGGCCUCAACUAUUGGAGAUGAAGCUGGGCCUCAACUCUGCACCGGCAUAUUCCUACAGCUCAGAGUCCUGUGGAUAAUGACGGAGGAGACAAACCAUGCAGAAAACAGCC
ensembl:snoRNA SNORA73 Small nucleolar RNA SNORA73 family